GGACAAUGGACAGCCGGCCGGGGUGGGCCUAAGGCCAAGAGAAAAGAGGCUGACCCCUGAGCUCAAGCCUCUUUUGCUGCUCUUCCUUCUGGGAUCAAGAUCAGGAUCAGGAGUGUAUCCAGGCGGCCGGACUGAGCUGUACUGGCUUGGCAACGCUAAGAAGAGGACCAGCAAGCAACACCUGAUUUUCGCAGCUGGAUUUGCAUAAACACUAUCAACCAAUGUAAUGACCACAGGCUGCUACUUCUUGAAAGUAUAGCAACAUCAUUUUCUUUCUGGCCUCCCCCGCUUUUGUGACGUCUGGGAAGUGAAGCACUGACGUCUACCAGAUCAAAGCACAAAUUCUGGGGGCUUUGUUUCUGGCAUCACGGUGUCAAUCCUGGUGGUUCUCACCCUCAUGGAUAUUAUUCUGGGGGCCACACACCAAUGGGACUGCAUAAGGAUCCUGCAAUGUGUGGGCAUAGUACUGAACAAAGAAUCCUGCCCUGCCCCCAAGACAAAUCCAUUACAACUAAGCUGCCAAACCGAGUUCUCGUGAUUCUAGAAUAUUAGACGACAUGAAAAAGUUAUCCAGUUCAUCUACAAAACAGUCCUUUGAAUGAGGAGAUCGUAGAAUUCCCCUGUUCUGUACCUUUUUUGUUCUCUUUGCUUGCUCUGAAUUGUGGUUUACCUAGGAGGGUUUCUAUAAAAAUAAUAAUCUGGAAAUCAAACAUGCAGUGUCUGUUUUAGCUUUUUCUUGAUAGGUAACAAGUAUGGGAACCAAACAAGACAAACUGGAGCUUUUAAUACAGGAUGGCAAAUGUGGGAUGAGACUCAUGACUAGAAGGUAGGAAUUGAGAAGUAUAACCUGUUCAAAAGGAAUAGACCAAACAGGACAGGAGGAGGAGUAGCAUUUUAUGUAAAGGAUGUUUACACUUGUGAAUAAAUCCAUGACC